rnacentral:rRNA from 1 species
AGCGGACGCUGGCGGCAGGCCUAACACAUGCAAGUCGAGCGCCGUAGCAAUACGGAGCGGCAGACGGGAGAGUAACACGUGGGAACGUACCCUUUGGUUCGGAACAACCCAGGGAAACUUGGGCUAAUACCGAAUAAGCCCUUACGGGGAAAGGAUUUAUCGCCGAAGGAUCGGCCCGCGUCUGAUUAGCUAGUUGGUGGGGUAACGGCCCACCAAGGCGACGAUCAGUAGCUGGUCUGAGAGGAUGAUCAGCCUCAUUGGGGACUGAGACACGGCCCAAACUCCUACGGGAGGCAGCAGUGGGGAAUAUUGGACAAUGGGCGCAAGCCUGAUCCAGCCAUGCCGCGUGGGU